rnacentral:rRNA from 1 species
AUUGAACGCUGGCGGCAUGCCUUACACAUGCAAGUCGAACGGUAACGGGCCUUCGGGUGCCGACGAGUGGCGAACGGGUGAGUAAUGUAUCGGAACGUACCUUUCAGUGGGGGAUAACGUAGCGAAAGUUACGCUAAUACCGCAUAUUCUGUGAGCAGGAAAGCAGGGGAUCGCAAGACCUUGCGCUGAUUGAGCGGCCGAUAUCAGAUUAGCUAGUUGGUGAGGUAAAGGCUCACCAAGGCGACGAUCUGUAGCGGGUCUGAGAGGAUGAUCCGCCACACUGGAACUGAGACACGGUCCAGACUCCUACGGGAGGCAGCAGUGGGGAAUUUUGGACAAUGGGGGCAACCCUGAUCCAGCCAUGCCGCGUGAGUGAAGAAGGCCUUCGGGUUGUAAGGCUCUUUCGGCCGGGAAGAAAUCGUAUCAGCUAAUACCUUGUGUGGAUGGCGGUACCGGAAUAAGAAGCACCGGCUAACUACGUGCCAGCAGCCGCAGUAAAAC